UACGUAGGGGGCAAGCGUUAUCCGGAUUUACUGGGUGUAAAGGGAGCGUAGACGGCAAUGCAAGACUGGAGUGAAAGGCGGGGGCCCAACCCCCGGACUGCUCUGGAAACUGUAUAGUUGGAGUGCAGGAGAGGUAAGUGGAAUUCCUAGUGUAGCGGUGAAAUGCGUAGAUAUUAGGAGGAACACCAGUGGCGAAGGCGGCUUACUGGACUGUAACUGACGUUGAGGCUCGAAAGCGUGGGGAGCAAACAGG
rnacentral:rRNA from 1 species